rnacentral:rRNA from 1 species
UACGAAGGGGGCUAGCGUUGUUCGGAAUUACUGGGCGUAAAGCGUGCGCAGGCGGCUAUGCAAGACAGAUGUGAAAUCCCCGGGCUCAACCUGGGAACUGCGUUUGUGACUGCAUGGCUAGAGUACGGUAGAGGGGGAUGGAAUUCCGCGUGUAGCAGUGAAAUGCGUAGAUAUGCGGAGGAACACCGAUGGCGAAGGCAAUCCCCUGGACCUGUACUGACGCUCAUGCACGAAAGCGUGGGGAGCAAACAGG